UACGUAGGGGGCAAGCGUUGUCCGGAUUUAUUGGGCGUAAAGAGCGUGUAGGCGGCCAGACAGGUCCGUUGUGAAAACUGGAGGCUCAACCUCCAGACGUCGAUGGAAACCGUCUGGCUAGAGUCCGGAAGAGGAGAGUGGAAUUCCUGGUGUAGCGGUGAAACGCGCAGAUAUCAGGAAGAACACCCGUGGCGAAAGCGGCUCUCUGGGACGGUACUGACGCUGAGACGCGAAAGCGUGGGGAGCGAACAGG
rnacentral:rRNA from 1 species